rnacentral:rRNA from 1 species
UGGGGAAUAUUGGGCAAUGGGCGAAAGCCUGACCCAGCGACGCCGCGUGAAGGACGAAGGCCUUCGGGUUGUAAACUUCUUUGGGGAGGGACGAAAAUGACGGUACCUCCAGAACAAGCCACGGCUAACUACGUGCCAGCAGCCGCGGUAAUACGUAGGUGGCAAGCGUUAUCCGGAUUUACUGGGUGUAAAGGGCGCGCAGGCGGCCCCAAAAGUCAGAUGUGAAAGAUCAAGGCUUAACUUUGACAUGUCAUCUGAAACUUUGGGACUUGAGUAUCAGAGGGGAAAGCGGAAUUCCUGGUGGAGCGGUAAAAUGCGCAGAGAUCAGGAGGAACACCGGUGGCGAAGGCGGCUUUCUGGCUGACAACUGACGCUGAGGCGCGAAAGCGUGGGGAGCAAACAGG